GAUGAAGAACGCAGCGAAAUGCGAUAAGUAAUGUGAAUUGCAGAAUUCAGUGAAUCAUCGAAUCUUUGAACGCACCUUGCACCCUUUGGCAUUCCGAAGGGUAUGCUCGUUUGAGUGUCAUUGUACUCUCACACUUCCGAUCUUUGGAUUGGGAGCGGUGGACUUGGGUGUUGCUGCUUACUGUGGCUCACCUCAAAUCGAUUCGUGCACCUCUCGGUUGGACAUAGUACGGCGUGAUAAGUGUCUUCGCCGGCACCUCAGUAGAGGGUGGCUGAUCGGGAGCUCUGCUUCAAACCGUCCUCGGACAACAACUGACAACUUGACCUCAAAUCGAGUAGGACUACCCGCUGAACUUAAGCAUAUCAAUAAGCGGAGGA
rnacentral:misc_RNA from 1 species